rnacentral:rRNA from 1 species
UAUUCUGUCAGAGGUGAAAAUCUUGGAGAUAUAGAAGCCUGCUUACUGCGAAAGCAUUUUCCAAAGUGUUUUCAUUAAUCAGUGACACGAAAGUUGGAGGGUCGAGGGGUUUCACAGACGGUAGUAGUCUCAGCACAAAAACACGCCGAGUAGGGAUCGGGCCAUGCUGUUUCUUGUGACUCGUUCGGCCCCUUUAGAGAAAUCAAAGUUUAUGGGUUCUGGGGGGAGUAUGGUUGCAAGGGUGAAAGUCAACGAAAUUGACGGAAGGGCAUUCCCAGGUGAGGAGCUUGAGGUGUAAUCAGUCUAAACACGGGGAAAAUAAGCAGGUCCAGACGAAAUAAGGAGUGACAGACUGAGGGCUUUUUGAUGAUUUAGUAGUUGGUGGUGCAGCGCUGUUUUUAGUUGGUGGAGUGAUUUGUGGCUCCCUCUCCGGAAUGAAAGAGACAUUAACCUUUUAAAUAGGCAGGCUUGGUAAGGCGGGUCGUUGGCUUCUUAGAGGGAUAAUGGGGAAAAGCGGAUGGAGGUUUGAGGCAAUAACAGGUCUGUGAUGCCCUUAGAUGUUAUGAAUCGCACGCGCGCUACCAGGGCAGAGCCAGGGAGUUUUUUUCAUAGGCCGGAAGGUUCAAAAGUUAGGGUUAAAUUCAGUUGUGAGGGGGAUAGAGCAUACGGGUAUCCAUGUUAGUAGGGGAACAUCAAGUAAGUAAAGGUCAUAUAGCAUGAGUUGAAUGCGUGUCUCACAGUAUAACAGACC